UGGGACACCUCUCCCCAACGAGAGGCAGAUAUCUGUGAGGGUAAUAUA
rnacentral:ncRNA from 1 species